UGAUACCAGGGUCAAAAGGUUAUGCGUUUCAUGCUUGCAUGAAAAAGCAUGACUUUGGGACCCGCAAAACAUGAGAAAGUAGCCCGAGCAGGGCGGAUUUCGAAUGUUUUUAGGAUUGCGGGAGCACAAAGUGCGGAGCAAUCCGUAGGUAUCA
rnacentral:sRNA from 1 species